UUCAUGACCUUGGAUUAGGCAAUGGUUUCUUAGCUAUGAUACCAAAAGCACAAGUAGCAAAAAAUUAUUACAUAGGACUCCAUCAAAAUCAAAAACUUUGCUUCAAAGUUCACCAUCAAGAGAGUGAAAAAACACUAUCAAGACUUUUCCUGGGUUUCAGCUGUGCUUGUUGCUGCCUCUGGGACAAGUCAGCCUAGCACAGGAAAGCUUAUUCCCUUUUUUUUUUUCUUUCUUUCUUUAAUUUCCUGCCUCAAUAUGACAAUAAUAACAUAAAUGGGGAAGGAAGAAUGGAAUUAUAUAAGAGCAAAGUUGCUGUAUUUUACUGGAGUCAGAUGAAUACUAAUCUGAAACAGACUGUACUAAAUAAAAGAUGUAAUCCCUCCAGAAACUGCAAAAACAAUUUAAUACAUAGCUUAAAAAUCAACAGAGGAACUAAAACAGCACAUCAAAAAAAAUUUAACACAAAAAAUUUUCAUUUUCAUUUGUAUCAUGCUUUUCAUUUGUAUCAUCCAUUAGUGGAAUUUUGAAAUUCCACUAAAUGACCAGUACUUCCCAAAUUUUUCACUAAGGUAACUGCAGAGAAAGUUAAAAUCCCUGGAGGGUCUGCCUGCAGGCCUGCCCACAGAGGCAAAGUUUUUGCUUUAAUAUUUUGUGUUUUACCUUUAAAUUAUUACCCUUUUUUUUUUUUUUUUUUUUUUUUGAGUCAGAGUCUCACUCUGUCCCCCAGGCUGGAGUCCAAUGGUGUGAUCUUGGCUCACUGCAACUUCCGCCUCCUGGGUUCAAGCAAUUCUCCUGCCUCAGCCUCCUGAGUAGCUGGGAUUACAGGCACCCACCAGCAUGCCCAGCUAAUUUUUUUCCUUAAAAUUUGUGAAUUUUAUUUAUCUUCUAUAUGCUACCUUUGUGAUUGUAUUUGUUAUAAAACUAAUGUGUGGUUUGUAUGUUUAUAUGUUUGUUUUUCUGGUUUGUUUCUGCUAAAAUGUUGAAGUAAAAUUAAUAGUUGAAGAAAAUUUACCUAAACAUUGAUGGAUCAUGUGCUAUUAUAUCUGCAUUUCUUUGCAAUACUAUCAGUCAUUCACUCAAUAUACAAUUCUCAGCUGUACUUUAAAAAGGAUAUAAGAAUUUAUUUUUUCUAAUUCCAACUUCACUCCUCUUAAAAAUUCUGCCCUUCCUCUGAAUUAAAUGUAUACACAAAAACAUAGAAACCUAAUAGACAUUUUAAUGUCUCAAUUAAGGUGAUAAAAUAAAAAUUGAAUUGGAAAAGCAGUUUAAACACCUGAAGUUCUAUAUGUAGCGAGGUUUAAGUCACCUGGGUUAGUCCUUUUAAAGACAGUUAAGUGUUCAAUAGUACAUUCAAUGAAUCAUUAUGCAGGUUCAGCAUCUUUACCUCAUCCAGGGCCCAGCAGCUACCUCAGUACACUGCUUCUUUUGCCUCCUCACUCACACAGGGUGCAGCAAGAGCCAAGGGGCACAUAGGUCACCUUCACACAGAGAAGCUGCAACUCCCAUUUCCUGCCCAUCUUUUAUACAGAUCUAGUUCCACAGACCCAAGGCUUCCAUGCCAACUCACAGCUCCCAAUUCAGGUGUAGUAGCACACAGUAACAGGCAGGUACAGGUACAUCCCACAUUAUCACAACUCUAUGGCUUCCCCAAAACUAGUGCUGAGAGAAGAUAAGUUUCAAGGUUAUUCCCCCAGGCAGGCCCAGCUUAGUCCGGGACCGAUGUUAACUCUUUACUCACAAAUAUAAAAAAUGUUGGUUGGGUGCAGUGGCUCACGCCUAUAAUCCCAGCACUCUGGGAGGCCAAGCCAGGAGGAUUGCUUGAGGCCAGGAGUUCAAGAUCAGCCUGGGCAACAGAGUAGACGUGUCUCUACAAAAAAUUUAAAAAUUAGUCAGGCAUGGUAGUGUGUACCUGUAGUCCUGGCUACUCAGGAGGCUGAAGUUGGAGGAUCACUUGAGCCCAGAAGUUCAAGGUUACAGUUAGCUAUGAUUACACCCCUGCACUCCAGUCUGGGUGAGAGAGUGAGACCUUGUCUCUAAAAACAACAAGUUACAGCGCCUUAUAAAACAACUGACUCUAGUAUACUUUUUAAUGUGUCCCUGUGUACAUGCACACAGUUUUUUAAAUCCAGAUUUUCUUUCAUAGCUAUAAAGUGUUGAUAAUCUAUUCAUUUAUACAGGCACGCUUUGAAUUCAAAACUGUUAGCUUCACCUCAAGAAACUUUUACUGAAAGUCUACAACAUAAACCAUAUGACUAGGUACCAGGGAUACAAAUGAUUUAGAAGAAGGUUUCUGCUCCGAAAGAGUCUAUCAGCAAAGAAAAAGGAAACCAAUUUAAAGUUUAUUCCAAUGGAACAGAUAUGAAGAAUGAAAAUUGUAGACUAAGAAUUCCCCCAAAACUGGAAUUAGAGAAAGACAGGUGAUAAAAACAUUACAAAGAAAAACCUGGUAAUAAGUAGAUGGUGGGAAGGAGGCAAGGAUAAUUCCAUGUCUACAAAGUGGCUGCUAACAGAAAUAUGAAAAACAAAAAAGAAUGAUAAGAAUGAAUUUAGACAUGCUGAAAAUAA
rnacentral:lncRNA from 1 species